GCCUUAGUAACGGCGAGUGAAGCGGCAACAGCUCAAAUUUGAAAUCUGGCUCUUUCAGGGUCCGAGUUGUAAUUUGCAGAGGGCGCUUUGGCGUUGGUAGCGGUCUAAGUUCCUUGGAACAGGACGUCACAGAGGGUGAGAAUCCCGUACGUGGUCGCUGGCCUUCGCCGUGUAAAGCCCCUUCGAUGAGUCGAGUUGUUUGGGAAUGCAGCUCUAAAUGGGAGGUAAAUUUCUUCUAAAGCUAAAUACUGGCCAGAGACCGAUAGCGCACAAGUAGAGUGAUCGAAAGAUGAAAAGCACUUUGGAAAGAGAGUCAAACAGCACGUGAAAUUGUUGAAAGGGAAGCGCUUGCAGCCAGACGUACCUGUAGUUGCUCAUCCGAGCUUCUGCCCGGUGUAUUCUUCUACUGGUAGGCCAGCAUCAGUUUAGGCGGUUGGAUAAAGGUCUCUGUCACGUACCUCCUUUCGGGGAGGCCUUAUAGGGGAGGCGACAUGCAACCAGUCUGGACUGAGGUCCGCGCAUCUGCUAGGAUGCUGGCGUAAUGGCUGUAAGCGGCCCGUCUUGAAACACGGACCAAGGAGUCUAACAUCUAUGCGAGUGUUUGGGUGUCAAGCCCAAGCGCGCAAUGAAAGUGAACGGAGGUGGGACUCUUCGGAUGCACCAACGACCGAUCCUGAUGUCUUCGGAUGGAUUUGAGUAAGAGCAUAGCUGUUGGGACCCGAAAGAUGGUGAACUAUGCUUGAAUAGGGUGAAGCCAGAGGAAACUCUGGUGGAGGCUCGCAGCGGUUCUGACGUGCAAAUCGAUCGUCAAAUUUGGGCAUAGGGGCGAAAGACU
rnacentral:rRNA from 1 species